rfam:Myotis brandtii contig181909, whole genome shotgun sequence.
GUUUCUAUCUCUCUUUCCCUUUCCCUUCCUCUCUGAAAUAUAAAUAUAUAGAUAUACAUACAUAUAUAUGUAUGUAUAUCUAUAUAUUUAUAUUUCAGAGAGGAAGGGAAAGGGAAAGAGAGAUAGAAAC